rnacentral:misc_RNA from 1 species
AACGCACAUUGCGCCCUUUGGUAUUCCAAAGGGCAUGCCUGUUCGAGCGUCAUUUGUACCCUCAAGCUUUGCUUGGUGUUGGGCGUUUUUUGUCUUUGGUUGCCAAAGACUCGCCUUAAAAGGAUUGGCAGCCGGCCUACUGGUUUCGCAGCGCAGCACAUUUUUGCGCUUGCAAUCAGCAAAAGAGGACGGCAAUCCAUCAAGACUCCUUCUCACGUUUGACCUCGGAUCAGGUAGGGAUACCCGCUGAACUUAA